ACCAGCUCGCGUCCCUCCCCGGCCAGGGCCACCGCCGUCCGAGCGCCCGCGAGGGCUGGCGCCCCAUUCCCGGCGCAACGAGUGUUGCGCAACGGCCCACGCGGCCGACACGACCGGAGCGAGCCUGCGGAGGAGCCCGGGAGCCCCCCGUCCCACCGCCCCGUCCGCUCUUGGCUCCCUUCACCCUCCCGGUCGCCGCGGUGGCUCUGCGCUCCCCGCGACCCUCACUUGCUCGCAGAGGCGCUUUUUGUCUUCCUGAGAGCCGCAGCCUGCUGGGCUACCUGUUGCCGACUGAGCACUGCGGGUUGCGGCUACCCGGGCGUGGCCCGGACCUCGGCCUCCCCUUCCCCGCACACUCCCGAGAGGAGCCCUCUACCUUGGGGUGGGCAGGAGGGAAGGCGGGGGGUGGCGGCUGGCAAGCUGCCAACACUCGGGGCGCGCUGCGGCGGGGAAGGGGUUGGCGCGGCCGGGCAGCUGCGCAGGGCUGCGCGGCGGAGGCAGCGAUUAAAAUGUCCCGGCGCCUCUCCCGAGAGCCGCGACGGCCCGGAGCCGGGAGGGAAAGCUCCACGCACAAACACCGCCCCCUGCACAAUUAGGGCGAAGAUGACGGCUGCAAAGUUGUUGCGUAACACGACUGGGAAACGAGGCUCGCUGAGGUCCAUCUACCCACCCCCGCCACGCGGGUGCGGCGUUCCUCGGAGGAUGUGAAGGUCCGCGCUCGGGUGCCCCCGCUGGGACGCCCACUGUCGUUUGGUGCUGGGGCUUGAGACGACCGCGCGGGAUCUCUUCCUGUGAUUUUGAGCUGAUAGCUGCUUAGUGUUAUUUCUGCGUCUAACUGGAUACGGUAGUCUUCUCUCCCAAAUUCCCGGGCUACGGAAGAGACGUAAAAAAAUGGAAAAAAGAGCACCUAGCCGCGACUUCUUAAGUCGUCGCGCUAGACUGUCAAGGCACGUGGCACACUCCCUGCGUUUACCGAUACACGGAUAGUGGUCAGUGCUGGCCUUGGCGAAGGGAGCCAUGUUCCCGACAGUGACUCACAGGCUUGCCCAAAUACGGAGUGUGGCAGGUGGGCAGGACCUCCACCAGCCAGCUCCCUCCUGGUCUCCUUGAACUACGUGGGGGCUGGGCCGAGUGCCUCCACGACUUUCCACUUCUUUUUGCUCCUUUCGUUUUUAAAAAGCAAAAACCAAAGUAAAGAGAAGAGCAGAGUGAACACCCAGGUACCAUCCCUAGUGUCUGCCAUGAGCAGCAGAUCUAUCUACUCGCCAAGAUUGUCUUUUCUACCUUUCCCCUUCUUGCACAGUUAAUAUCAUAAUAACGCAAGUCAUAUUUAAAAAAUUUUUAUCACCUAUCAGUUGAGUUUUUGGAAAGCCUUCCAGGGCAGCGUUGUGGUUUUGAACGCACUCUUGUUCGUGAUUUAUCUGGUAGUACAGCUCUGCUGACAAGGCUCUGAAAACUCAGACGUACAAUAUGGGCUUAGCGUGUUCCCCGACACCAUCUUCCCGGUGCUGACUAAUGCAAGAACCACAUCCCCUCCACUACACAUUUUCCAAACUUGACUACCUUCAUGAGAACAAAUCCUGAUUUUAGUUUAUAAUUUCCACUUUUCUCAUACAUAUAUAAUAAUUCAAGAUGUGGUCUUACUAUGUUGUCCAGGUUGGCCUGGAACUCCUGGGCUCAAAGGAUCCUCCGGCCACAGCCUCCCUGGUAGUGGAAUUACAGGCGCAUGCCACUGUGCCUGGCCACUUUUCUCAAAUUUACUGAUAGUUUCCUUUUUGCCCAAACCUUACAAUGCUUAUUUGUAGCUUUGAGAACCUCUCUUAGAUGAAAUCAAAAUCAUAUCCAUAUUAGUUGCCUUUUUGGGGUCAGAAAUGCAGCUAUUGUCUAGAAAUCCAGGGCUGUCCUGCAUAAUCUACCCUCCCCUUCACGUGUUCUGACCUUGUUCUGCAUUUUGAAUAAUUUCAUGGAAUUUCAAAGCCGUUGUAGUAAAUGUCUUUCUUUAAAGACAACUCGACCUUCAAGACAGGUAAAGAACGUGCCUGGAGCCACCCCAGGCAGUGAUGCUGGAGGAGUUCUCUCAACCUGGAAACUUAUUCUUUAUGCUGAAUUUUGAAAUCGAAUGCUCCUAUAUUUACUUGGAGUAUUUUAGAUUGUGUAUGUAUUAUAUCUGUGCAUCAUUCAUUGUUACCAUCUAACUUGGAAAUCAGAGGAAGUGUGAAAGGUAUCUGAGAUACCAGCUUAGAAAACAACUCUUUAGCUCCUCCUGGUGAUUAGGACACCACUAAACAACAGGAUGAAGGAUCUGUCCCCAGGGCCGAAGUGAUGAUGUAUCUAAUAUUAUAUCCUAGAACAUUCACAGAGUAGCUGCAGAAUGUCUUGAGCUGGAACAUCCCCAAGAGGCCAUAUAUAUAUCCCAGGGAUUUUACAGUGGACCUCACUAGGCCGGAGUAACUGUAAAGUCAGAUGGAUAAUGAGAAUUCAGGACGUUAGCCACACGUGGACUGUGGCAAAAAGAAAGUGACCCACUGAAGAAGACUGUUUUUCAGCUCUCUCAUCAAUUGCUGUUUCCAGGAGCCCACAGCUCCAAUUACUCAAAAGAACGUUGACUUUUUUUUUUUUGGUAAAAUAUCCUGAUUUUCAGGUUAGGCAAGCAAUUCAUUAAAAAAUAAAAGACUGCACAGCCCACAGCUCCAAUUAUUCAAAAGAAAGUUGACUUUCUUUUUUUUGGUAAAAUAUCCUGAUUUUCAGUUUAGGCAAGCAAUUCAUUAAAAAAUAAAAGACUGCAGGACUUACCUACCCAGAGGCUGGACAGUCUGAGUCCUCUGAGUUCUACAGAGAUGUCCUGGGAACAGGGGGUGGAGACGGGGGACUCAGUGGCUAAAAAGCAGGCUGCCUACCUGGCAACCAAAUUGGGCAGCUCUACCCUAUCUGUUUUGUGCAUUGGACUUAUGGAUUUCUUUGUAGAAAAAACUUCGAUAACUAAAAGCCCUUUGGUGACCUCCUGUCUGGUCUGGUGGCCGGCAGCCUGCAUCAGGGCUCCUGUGUGCCAGGACCAUUUUCUUUCCACUGUAGUAUGUUUAUGGACCACCUUGUGUCUUUUUAUUAAACUCCAGGAACAGAAGUUCAGUUUCUG
rnacentral:lncRNA from 1 species